GAAAAACUCAGCACUGCGGAGUGAUUGGAUGGGUCCUAUCUUUUGAGAGAUCAGCUGUUCGUUGCCUUCUCCCGAGCAAAGAAACAUGCAAGCGCUGCGGUAGCCAG
rnacentral:sRNA from 20 species